rnacentral:rRNA from 1 species
CCUACGGGGGGCUGCAGUGGGGAAUUUUGGACAAUGGGGGCAACCCUGAUCCAGCAAUGCCGCGUGCAGGAAGAAGGCCUUCGGGUUGUAAACUGCUUUUGUCAGGGAAGAAAUCCUGUGGGUUAAUACCUCGUGGGGAUGACGGUACCUGAAGAAUAAGCACCGGCUAACUACGUGCCAGCAGCCGCGGUAAUACGUAGGGUGCGAGCGUUAAUCGGAAUUACUGGGCGUAAAGCGUGCGCAGGCGGUUUUGUAAGACAGAGGUGAAAUCCCCG